UGGAGGCAGCAGUGAGGAAUCUUGCGCAAUGGGGGAAACCCUGACGCAGCGACGCCGCGUGCGGGAUGACGGCCUUCGGGUCGUAAACCGCUUUUCCCAGGGACGGUGAUGACGGUACCUGGGGAAUCAGCCCCGGCUAACUCCGUGCCAGCAGCCGCGGUAAGACGGAGGGGGCCAGCGUUGUCCGGAAUUACUGGGCGUAAAGCGCUCGUAGGCGGUCGCGUACGGCGGUGGUGAAAGCUCCCGGCUCAACUGGGAGAGGCCCGCCGCAACGGCGUGACUCGAGGGUGGUAGAGGCAGACGGAAUUCCUGGUGUAGCGGUGAAAUGCGUAGAGAUCAGGAGGAACACCCGUGGCGAAGGCGGUCUGCUGGGCCAUGCCUGACGCUGAGGAGCGAAAGCUAGGGGAGCGAACGGGAUUAGAUACCCGGGUAGUC
rnacentral:rRNA from 1 species